rnacentral:rRNA from 1 species
UACGUAGGCAGCAAGCGUUGUUCGGAGUUACUGGGCGUAAAGGGUGUGUAGGCGGUCUCGUAAGUCUGGUGUGAAAUCUCCCGGCUCAACUGGGAGGGUGCGCCGGAAACUGCGAGGCUAGAGUGUGGGAUGGGAGAGUGGAAUUCCUGGUGUAGCGGUGAAAUGCGUAGAUAUCAGGAGGAACACCUGCGGUGUAGACGGCUUUCUGGACCACUACUGACGCUGAAACACGAAAGCGUGGGUAGCAAAACAGG